UUGAACCUACGGGGCGCAGCAGUAGGGAAUCUUCCACAAUGGGCGAAAGCCUGAUGGAGCAACGCCGCGUGGGUGAAGAAGGUCUUCGGAUCGUAAAACCCUGUUGUUAGAGAAGAAAGUGCGUGAGAGUAACUGUUCACGUUUCGACGGUAUCUAACCAGAAAGCCACGGCUAACUACGUGCCAGCAGCCGCGGUAAUACGUAGGUGGCAAGCGUUGUCCGGAUUUAUUGGGCGUAAAGCGAGUGCAGGCGGGUCAAUAAGGCUGAUGUGAAAGCCUUCGG
rnacentral:rRNA from 1 species